CCUACGGUAGGCAGCAGUGAGGACUAUUGGUCAAUGGGCGCUAGCCUGAACCAGCCAAGUCGCGUGAAGGAUGACUGCCCUAUGGGUUGUAAACUUCUUUUAUAUGGGAAUAAAGUGCAGUAUGUAUACUGCUUUGCAUGUACCUUAUGAAUAAGCAUCGGCUAACUCCGUUCCAUCAGCCGCGGUACUACGGGGGAUGCCAGCGUUCUCCGGAUUUGUUGGGUUUAAAGGGUGCGUAGGCUGUGAGGUAAGUCAGCGGUGAAAUGCCCCCGCUCAACGGGGUGAAGUGCCUUUGAUACUGACUGGCUGGAAUGCGGAUGCGGUGGGAGGAAUGUGUGGUGUAGCGGUGAAAUGCAUAGAUAUCACACAGAACACCGAUUGCGAAGGCAUCUCACGAAUCCGCGAUUGACGCUGAUGCACGAAAGCGUGGGUAUCAAACAGGAUUAGAUACCCGGGUAGUC
rnacentral:rRNA from 1 species